UCAGGAUGAACGCUAGCUACAGGCUUAACACAUGCAAGUCGCGGGGCAGCAUGGAGUUUGCUUGCAAACUUGAUGGCGACCGGCGCACGGGUGAGUAACGCGUAUCCAACCUUCCCCUAGUAGGGCAUAGCCCGGCGAAAGUCGGAUUAAUACCCUAUGUUCUUCGUAGAGGACAUCUGAAAUGAAGCAAAGGUUUACCGCUAAGGGAUGGGGAUGCGUCUGAUUAGGCAGCAGGCGGGGUAAUGGCCCACCUGGCCUACGAUCAGUAGGGGUUCUGAGAGGAAGGUCCCCCACAUUGGAACUGAGACACGGUCCAAACUCCUACGGGAGGCAGCAGUGAGGAAUAUUGGUCAAUGGGCGAGAGCCUGAACCAGCCAAGUAGCGUGCAGGAUGACGGCCCUAUGGGUUGUAAACUGCUUUUAUGCGGGGAUAAAGUGCGGCACGUGUGCCGUUUUGUAGGUACCGCAUGAAUAAGGACCGGCUAAUUCCGUGCCAGCCGCGGC
rnacentral:rRNA from 1 species